rnacentral:rRNA from 2 species
AAAUUGAAGAGUUUGAUCAUGGCUCAGAUUGAACGCUGGCGGCAGGCCUAACACAUGCAAGUCGAACGGUAACAGGAAGCAGCUUGCUGCUUCGCUGACGAGUGGCGGACGGGUGAGUAAUGUCUGGGAAACUGCCUGAUGGAGGGGGAUAACUACUGGAAACGGUGGCUAAUACCGCAUAACGUCGCAAGACCAAAGAGGGGGACCUUCGGGCCUCUUGCCAUCAGAUGUGCCCAGAUGGGAUUAGCUAGUUGGUGAGGUAACGGCUCACCAAGGCGACGAUCCCUAGCUGGUCUGAGAGGAUGACCAGCCACACUGGAACUGAGACACGGUCCAGACUCCUACGGGAGGCAGCAGUGGGGAAUAUUGCACAAUGGGCGCAAGCCUGAUGCAGCCAUGCCGCGUGUAUGAAGAAGGCCUUCGGGUUGUAAAGUACUUUCAGCGGGGAGGAAGGUGUUGUGGUUAAUAACCACAGCAAUUGACGUUACCCGCAGAAGAAGCACCGGCUAACUCCGUGCCAGCAGCCGCGGUAAUACGGAGGGUGCAAGCGUUAAUCGGAAUUACUGGGCGUAAAGCGCACGCAGGCGGUCUGUCAAGUCGGAUGUGAAAUCCCCGGGCUCAACCUGGGAACUGCAUUCGAAACUGGCAGGCUUGAGUCUUGUAGAGGGGGUAGAAUUCCAGGUGUAGCGGUGAAAUGCGUAGAGAUCUGGAGGAAUACCGGUGGCGAAGGCGGCCCCCUGGACAAAGACUGACGCUCAGGUGCGAAAGCGUGGGGAGCAAACAGGAUUAGAUACCCUGGUAGUCCACGCCGUAAACGAUGUCUACUUGGAGGUUGUGCCCUUGAGGCGUGGCUUCCGGAGCUAACGCGUUAAGUAGACCGCCUGGGGAGUACGGCCGCAAGGUUAAAACUCAAAUGAAUUGACGGGGCCCGCACAAGCGGUGGAGCAUGUGGUUUAAUUCGAUGCAACGCGAAGAACCUUACCUGGUCUUGACAUCCACAGAACUUUCCAGAGAUGGAUUGGUGCCUUCGGGAACUGUGAGACAGGUGCUGCAUGGCUGUCGUCAGCUCGUGUUGUGAAAUGUUGGGUUAAGUCCCGCAACGAGCGCAACCCUUAUCCUUUGUUGCCAGCGGUUAGGCCGGGAACUCAAAGGAGACUGCCAGUGAUAAACUGGAGGAAGGUGGGGAUGACGUCAAGUCAUCAUGGCCCUUACGACCAGGGCUACACACGUGCUACAAUGGCGCAUACAAAGAGAAGCGACCUCGCGAGAGCAAGCGGACCUCAUAAAGUGCGUCGUAGUCCGGAUUGGAGUCUGCAACUCGACUCCAUGAAGUCGGAAUCGCUAGUAAUCGUGGAUCAGAAUGCCACGGUGAAUACGUUCCCGGGCCUUGUACACACCGCCCGUCACACCAUGGGAGUGGGUUGCAAAAGAAGUAGGUAGCUUAACCUUCGGGAGGGCGCUUACCACUUUGUGAUUCAUGACUGGGGUGAAGUCGUAACAAGGUAACCGUAGGGGAACCUGCGGUUGGAUCACCUCCUUA